CCCCAGAGAUUCAUAAUACUAAUUUAGAGUUUGGCAGACAAGUGUGAGGCCCCCUCAUGCAGAACCACAGGAAAUGAAUAAACCACCUCAGCCUAUAACAGGACCCCCUGCCAUUCCCCACCCCGCCCAAUCGCCAGGACUGACACAGGCUGCCUAUCCCCCAGGUCAGCCUCCCUCGGUUGUUUUUCCCGGGCCAUCUCCACAAAUGAACACUGCACCGCAACCCAGACAGUUUGUGCCAGGGCCUCGUGCUUUACACCAACAGGUACUACCAAUUUUCAUA